UGGGAAGUCCUCGUGUUGCAUUCCU
rnacentral:rRNA from 2 species